rnacentral:rRNA from 1 species
AUUGAACGCUGGCGGCAGGCUUAACACAUGCAAGUCGAGCGGAAACGAUGGGAGCUUGCUCCCAGGCGUCGAGCGGCGGACGGGUGAGUAACACUUAGGAAUCUACCUAGUAGUGGGGGAUAGCUCGGGGAAACUCGAAUUAAUACCGCAUACGUCCUACGGGAGAAAGGGGGCAACUUGUUGCUCUCGCUAUUAGAUGAGCCUAAGUCGGAUUAGCUAGUUGGUGGGGUAAAGGCCUACCAAGGCGACGAUCUGUAGCUGGUCUGAGAGGAUGAUCAGCCACACCGGGACUGAGACACGGCCCGGACUCCUACGGGAGGCAGCAGUGGGGAAUAUUGGACAAUGGGGGCAACCCUGAUCCAGCCAUGCCGCGUGUGUGAAGAAGGCCUUUUGGUUGUAAAGCACUUUAAGCAGUGAAGAAGACCAUAUGGUUAAUACCCAUAUGCGAUGACAUUAGCUGCAGAAUAAGCACCGGCUAACUCUGUGCCAGCAGCCGCGGUAAUACAGAGGGUGCAAGCGUUAAUCGGAAUUACUGGGCGUAAAGCGAGCGUAGGUGGCUUGAUAAGUCAGAUGUGAAAUCCCCGGGCUUAACCUGGGAACUGCAUCUGAUACUGUCAGGCUAGAAUAGGUGAGAGGAAGGUAGAAUUCCAGGUGUAGCGGUGAAAUGCGUAGAGAUCUGGAGGAAUACCGAUGGCGAAGGCAACCUUCUGGCACCAUAUUGACACUGAGGUUCGAAAGCGUGGGUAGCAAACAGG